GCGAUCAGGGUUGCCGUUUGGUUAGCAUUGGAAUGGACUGGGGGGUGGUUUGCGGGGCUAGGGCUGGCCGCGGGCGAGGGAGAGGCCGAGCCCUGUCAUCGCAUCCCAGUUUACGGGUCAAGGGUUUGGACGGUCAUUUCUGGGUUGCAUGCUCCUGACCUUGGGGCCUUUGACUGAUGGGAUCAGUCGGGCAGACAGUCGCAGAGGAGAAGGCGGCCCUUCAAUCCUUGGAGGUAGACCUGGGAAUUGCAAGAAAACGUUGACCUAGCUCUGCCUCCUCAGUUCUCUCCUUGCUUAGAUAAGAUGGUAUUAAGGAGAAGGACCUGACCACUGGCCCCUGGCUACAUUGUCUGCGGUGAACAAACCUUUUCAGAUUUAGGGGAAUGGUAUUCCAUUCUCUUGGCCUCAGACAGGAGAGAACAGAUAGAAGAAAAUGGUGACAUGAGGGUUUUUGUGAAAGACACACAUGUCUUGGCCAACUCUUCUCUGAUCUAUAAAUUUCACAAAAUUAUAAAUGGAGAAUGUACUGAAAUUUUUUUGACGUCUGAUGAAACAGAAGAGGAAGGUGUAUACAAUUUUAUCUAUAAUGGAAAUAAUACAUUUCACAUCAUUGAAA